rnacentral:rRNA from 1 species
CAAAUCUCAAAAAAACAAUCUCAGUUCAGACUGCAGGCUGCAACUCGCCUGCACGAAGUCGGAAUUGCUAGUAAUCGUAGGUCAGCAUACUACGGUGAAUACGUUCCCGGGCCUUGUACACACCGCCCGUCAAACCAUGAGAGUUGGCAACACCCGAAGUCGGUAGUCUAACCGCAAGGAGGACGCCGCCGAAGGUGGGGUUGAUGAUUAGGGUUAAGUCGUAACAAGGUACC